GGUUUUUUCAGCAGGUUCAGUUGGAGGGUGGAGCUGCGUGCUGCCAUCUCAAACCUGCAAGCUAUCAGGCUCGUUAAGGCAGGUUUUAAGGAGUGGGUUGCAGAGGAUUCAACGCCUGAGUGUCGUCCUUUGCGGUGCCUCCUGGCAAACUCCCUGGGUCCUCCCGGUGAUCCUUGUGCAGCCUGGUUCAGCAUACCUCCGGAUUCCACGUUAGGAUCGCAGGCUGACUUCCACCAGCCUCAAGACGCUCAGCAACCGAAAACUGUCUGCCCUCCAACGAACUGCUUACCUACGGAAAACACAGACCUGUCUACCCGAAACUGACCUCCCCUCCCGGACUCAUAAUCCACCUGCAACUGGCGAACCGCCGGAGCAGCUGAGUGUUCCUCACACAUAUUAUUGUCUCUUCAAAAUAAAUAUCUUAAACUUC